GAACAUUUUCCAUCCGCCUCCCGCCUCCUUUCUUUCUCUCUCCUCCCUCCCUCCUGGCUCUCUCCCUCCACCAGCGAGCCCCUCUGCUCUCCCUCGCUCCAAUCUGGAGAACUCCUUUGAGAGGUGGAGCCGCCGCCCCCAACCUCUCUCUCCGACUUCGAUCUCCCGCCGCUCCGAUCCCGAUCCCCAUCCCCAACCCCACCGUCAACGAUUCUCACCUAGUCUGGCCCCAGAUCGAGCAGGCGCUCCCAGACCGGCGACUGUCGUGCCCACGCCGAUCUGGACCUCGAUGCCCCCCUCUCUGGGUUGGGCAGGCGCGGUUCCCGUGACCAGUAGCCGGUGUCGUGGACCUGCGCAACCUCCUCUCUCUCGAGCCCACCGUCCGCUGCUCCCACACCGUGGAGCUCACCACCACCGGCGGCGACCUGCUUCUUCCUGGCCAUGGUGGUCCACAUCUUCCAUUCACGGUGCCCAUCUUCUCCUAUCCUCUUGGUUCCCUGCCACGUCGUCGGAUUUGGUCUUCGGCCGACCUUGCAGAUUGCUCCUAGCGAUGGGUAGUGCGGUGAAAGGCCACCAACAACAGCUCCACCCGUGUGAUUCGCUACUCCUCGAGCUCAAUGUCGGUGAGCCCGAGACGGUGCGGGACAAGAUGCUGCUGGAGCUUGAGCAGGAAUGCCUCGAUGUGUACAAGAGGAAGGUCGACUAGGUCAACCGCUGCAGGGCUCAGCUGCGGCAAUCCAUUGCCGAGGCCGAGGCUGAGCUCACUGGCAUCUGCUCGGUCAUAGGCGAGCUGCCAGUUCACGUCUGACAGGUUUGUUCCUGGCUCCACCUCCACUAGUGUAGUAUGCUGUCAUAUCAAAUAGUGCUAAUUAUUCAUAGCAAAUGAAAAGAAAAGAAGUAGAAUAGUGCUAAUUAUGGAUAGAUGAUGGAAGGGAAUUUUAGCAGUAAUCUCAAAACUGCACUUAGUUUUGUACCCUCUAAUAGCUAAGAUGAAAUAAAUCAAUUAUGAUUA